rnacentral:rRNA from 1 species
GUCUUUUUGAAAUAAUUUAAAGUCUAAUCUGCCCACUGAUAAAAAUUAAAGGGCUGCAGUAUAAUGACUGUACAAAGGUAGCAUAAUCAAUAGUUUUUUAAUUGGAAACUUGUAUGAAAGAUUUGAUGAAAUAUAAACUGUCUCUAUUUUAUAAAUUGAAUUUUAUUUUUUAGUAAAAAAGCUAAAAUAAAUUUAAAAGACGAGAAGACCCUAUAGAGUUUUAUAUUUAAUUUUAUUUGAAAAUUAUAUAAAAAUUAUUAUUUAAAUAAAAUUAAUUAUUAUGUUGGGGUGACAGAAAAAUUAAAUUAACUUUUUUUAAAAAUUAAACAUAAAUAAAUGAUUAUAUGAUCCAUAAAUAAUGAUUAUAAGAAAAAAUUACCUUAGGGAUAACAGCGUAAUAUUUUUUUUUAGUUCAAAUAAAAAAGAAAGUUUGCGACCUCGAUGUUGGAUUAAGAUAAAAUUUAAAUGCAAAAGUUUAAAAUUUUUGAUCUGUUCGAUCAUUAAAAUCUUACA